AAAAACAUUCUCUAAGUGGGUCGUGUAACCUGCGUUUGCAAGGCAUUUGUAACAGGGAGAAGAAUAGCCUUCCAGAGCGGGCUGUUCAAACAUGCUUCACAUCUGGGUUUUUUGAACAUCAGUGAAGCAACAUAAGAAUGCCAGGAUUUCCCUUGCUGGAUCAGGUUAAAGGUUCACAAAACAACAGUGAACAGCCACUUGCUGCAUGAAAGCUCACCAGCAAGGCAUAAUGGAGCAAUCUGUCCCUGGCUUCUCCAAACCAUCUUGUACAGUACUCAUAUCCUCUAUCCAGUCAUGUGGUACCCAUGCAAAAGACCUUCCAAUAAAGUGCCUCUCUAGCCCCUCAAAUACCAA